rnacentral:rRNA from 1 species
AUUGAACGCUGGCGGCAGGCCUAACACAUGCAAGUCGAGCGGAUGAAGGGAGCUUGCUCCUGGAUUCAGCGGCGGACGGGUGAGUAAUGCCUAGGAAUCUGCCUGGUAGUGGGGGAUAACGUCCGGAAACGGGCGCUAAUACCGCAUACGUCCUGAGGGAGAAAGUGGGGGAUCUUCGGACCUCACGCUAUCAGAUGAGCCUAGGUCGGAUUAGCUAGUUGGUGGGGUAAAGGCCUACCAAGGCGACGAUCCGUAACUGGUCUGAGAGGAUGAUCAGUCACACUGGAACUGAGACACGGUCCAGACUCCUACGGGAGGCAGCAGUGGGGAAUAUUGGACAAUGGGCGAAAGCCUGAUCCAGCCAUGCCGCGUGUGUGAAGAAGGUCUUCGGAUUGUAAAGCACUUUAAGUUGGGAGGAAGGGCAGUAAGUUAAGACCUUGCUGUUUUGACGUGACCAACAGAAUAAACACCGGCUAACUUCGU